rnacentral:rRNA from 1 species
GGUGAACGCUGGCGGUAGGCCUAACACAUGCAAGUCGAACGGCAGCACAGUAAGAGCUUGCUCUUACGGGUGGCGAGUGGCGGACGGGUGAGGAAUACAUCGGAAUCUACUUUUUCGUGGGGGAUAACGUAGGGAAACUUACGCUAAUACCGCAUACGACCUACGGGUGAAAGCAGGGGAUCUUCGGACCUUGCGCGAUUGAAUGAGCCGAUGUCGGAUUAGCUAGUUGGCGGGGUAAAGGCCCACCAAGGCGACGAUCCGUAGCUGGUCUGAGAGGAUGAUCAGCCACGCUGGAACUGAGACACGGUCCAGACUCCUACGGGAGGCAGCAGUGGGGAAUAUUGGACAAUGGGCGCAAGCCUGAUCCAGCCAUACCGCGUGGGUGAAGAAGGCCUUCGGGUUGUAAAGCCCUUUUGUUGGGAAAGAAAAGCAGCAGGUUAAUACCCCGCUGUUCUGACGGUACCCAAAGAAUAAGCACCGGCUAACCUCGUG